GGUAUCAUGUCAGCCACAUGCCAUUAUUACUCAGUCUUUCCCAAGGCUCUGGUGGUAUAAGAGCCCGGGUCUUGUAAUCACAUCUACUUCUGUCACUAAUUUUGUGACUUCAGACCAAUGACGUUACCGUGCUAUUUCCGUAUGCCUAUUGCGUAAAAGAAAGAAUUAGUUUCUUCAUAGACGGAGAGGAUUAAUGGGAUAACAUACAAAAUUGUCUGGUAAGAUGCCUAUUGAUUAGUAUAUGUUAGUAUUAUUGCUCUAACUUUCUGUUUGGUCUUUAUACAUUUCCUUAUUUGAUAUACUUUCUGAAAAUAUUAUUAAUGAAAAUAAUAAUAAUAAUAAUUACUAUAACCUUGAUGAGGUCACCAUAUGUAUAAGGGCCAACUUUGUCACCAUUUUUUCCUGUGACCAUGCCAUUUACAAGAACUCACUUAUUCUUUGCUCUCUCAGUUCUUCUUCCCUAUUUUUUUCUCUAACUUAUUUCAUUAUCAAUUAUUAUAUCUUUUGUUUACCAUUUGUCCCUUUCCUCUAAAAUAUAUAGUAUGAGAGGGAUUUAUGCUUGUGGGGUGUGUGUAUAAGGUGUGUUUUGUACACAUUGCAAUAAUCUGCAUCCUCUAGAACAUAGCCUGGUGUGUGACAGUCAAACAAAUCUAUAUUGAAUCAAUGAAUAGUCUUCAAAUAUCAUCAAAAUUUCAUUAAUAUGAGUUUUGAUGAUACUUGAAAAAGAAAGGGUACUUGUUUAGCUCAGGGCAGAAGCUCUUUCCGCAGAAGUGGGUACUUGAAAGGCCAAGAGAAGACAUGGGUUGCAUGACUCUUUAAAGUGGUUGGUAGCUCAGAAUUCUGUAGUAAAUUAGUAUCAGGCAUUUUAUCACCAGCAAAUAGAGUGUACACAGAGUCAAGAAGAGACCAGAGAGGAAACCUCCAACAUGACUUCAGAAUAAUAUCCUUUUUUUUUCUGCUUGAGGAUAAGUGUAUUUUACAGAAGAACAUAAAUACCAUAGUUAAAAGAUAUCCUAACAGGAAACAUAAAUAUUGCAGUUAGAAUUCAUAGAUGUCAAGUAUUUUUCUUGUUCAGUCUCUGAUCUCCUGAACCAUCUUGGAUCAUGGGAAUUUAUCAUUUCGUAUCUAAGUAACUUUGUCUAAAAAUCUAAAUCUCAAUAGACAGAAGCAUUCUAAGAUAAAGUUAGAUUAACAAAUACUCACAUGGACACAUUAUCUGAGAAGACUCUGACAGACAACAGAGCAGCAUGAAAACAAGGCAGGACUUCAGGAGCCAGCAAUUAAGCUGAAGGCAUGAAAUCAACCCCCAGAGAUAAAAACAGUACAGAAGCUUGCUUUCUUGAUUCUGUGCUUUAUGAAUAUUUCUUAUAAAAAUGAGUUUGUGGAAAAUUUUUUUGACUUACAAAGGCCUUAGUUGAGGAUCGUUCCUUGAAUACUGAUAGGUGAACACGGAUAGUGUUGCCUUCCUUGCAGUUCUGGAUUUCUGCAUCAAAAAAGUGCCAUUUACAAAUAUUUGCUCUGUACCAGGUAAUGUGUAAGACAUAAUCUUAUCCAUCACUUUAUUUAGUCACUACAAUGUCAUUGUGAAUCGGCAUAAGUAUACUACUUUAUAGCUAAAGAAGAUGAAGCACAGAGAGAUUGUUUUGCUUCCAAACAAUGCACUUAACAAAUUUAGUUAGAUUCUAGGAACUAGAUUCCAAAAGCAUUUUUGUGACUUAAAUCCCACAUUCUCUUCUUCUUUUACCUAUUAACAUUUUAAUUAAUUACAUGUAGAAGAUCUCCUUCCUGAAAAAUAAAAGCAAUAUUAUGGCAUACAGUUUUGAGUGAGGAUAAGAAACAUGGUCUAACCUACAAUAUAUUUUACUAAUACAAGAUUUUGAGCCUAAGGCUUCACUUGAAUUAUUCGUGUAAGAGCUGAGUUACUAAGAAGUUUCUCAAGUAUAUUAACUUUUCAUAGCUGUGAGAAGGCCCUGGGACACAUGGAAAGGUGUACUAUGGUUUAGAUCUCAUAGGGUUUAGUCCAUUGUCAUCUGGCUCCAUGGAAGAAACAGUGGUGGAAGGGUUGCUUACCUCAUGGCAGCCAGGAAGCAAAGAGCAGGGAAGAGGAGGGAUAAGAAUUUGUACCCUUGCAGGUCAUGCCCCAGGGAACCAUCUUCUUCAGCUGGGCUCCACCUGCUAAUGACACAUUCAGCUAUGAACUCGUCAUGCCUUAAACCAUUGAUCGAUUUCUCCACACCAUGAUCUACCAAAAGCCCUGCUACUGUACUUAGGGACCAAGCCCACAAUACAUGAGUCUUUGGGCUGACACUUCAUAUUUAAACCAUAACACCCAGUCUAAAUUAAAAUAGCAAGAGUGACAGACAAGCAGUAAAUAACAAGCAACAUUAUUCUGUGAGUACUGAGGUCUGCUCAGUUCAAAGUGGCAGAGAUUAACACUGAGAGGAACAAGCUGAGAAGACAGCAAACUGUCAUUCUCAAACAUUGCUUUCCGGUCCGUUUUUUUGCAGAGCAGCCUUGAAGACAAACAUAUUCCUCUCAUCAGCAUAUGUUUCAGAUUGUAACCUGAAAGAUGUGUGUGUAGCACAACAAAUUAUUACUCCUUGUAAUUAAUCUGUGGGAAGGCAAGUCUGAGCUAAUAUGAAAUUUAAGCUAGAGAAGAGAUUUAAAAGAAAUUUAGUUAUGCACACAAAGCUUGCACCAGAGAGCUAAAGCCAGGGGACUCAGGAGGGCUCUGAUCCUUGUGUGGAAUAUAAGUAGGGUGGCCUUUCACAGAGAAACCACAGUGACUUGGGGAGACAAACUCCCCCAGUGAGCGAAUGGCCCAAGAAGUAUUAGAAUCUGCCCUACCCAGGCGGGACACAGUUCUCUGCUCCCUUAUAUGUUGUAUUUAGAGCUAGCAAAUUAUUACUAUGUAACAAUUUCAUGCAUAUUUUUCAUUAAUGUACAAAAUUAUAUUAUAGUAUUUAUCUGUAUGUAAGUCAGUGCUGCCAAACUGCUAAAACCAAUUUUUCCUGCACUUUCUGUUGGUACUGAAUUUUAAAAGAGAAUUGUCAAUAUAAAAGUAAAUUUAAUUUAUUGGUUUGAAUUAUCUUUUAUUCUGAAUUAGUGUAACCCAAAUUCAUGAGAUUUUACUUUAAUUCUCCUUUAAGGAGUUUAAUAUCACUGUAAAGAUGUUCUGUUUGGUAUUGUCUUCAAUUUAAAAGACAGAGAUGUUUCACAUCAUUCCUUGAUAAUCCAUUUCCAGUGUCCUUUACAGAACUGUCCUCUUCUCCUUUAUUAUCCCAUGACCAUGUAAAGUACAUUCCAUUAGUAUUUUCCUACACAGUUUUGAACUCAAGCCCUUUUAUUUUAAAUAAAAAUAAAAAAGGCAUUAAAAAGGCUCUUCUAUUUGGGUAAUUGUUACACUGCUCUGUGUGAAGUCAAGUAAAGAGAAUUAAUUGCUGUCAAUUGAACUUUGUAACAAGAGCAGUUGAAGAGGGUUGGAAAAUCUUAAUUGUGUAAACUUUCUGAAGUUAUGCUUAUCGAAAGACACACAUGCAUCGAGUCUAAGACCAAGAGCAAAGAAAAUAACUUUCUCUUAACUUCACUCUAUUAAGGACUGUUACAAUUACACAAAUAUCCAUCUCUUGAGCACUUUUUUCUUUUCUGUGCUACUAAGGACUGAACUUAGUGCCUUCUCACUGAGCUAUAUCCCCAGCAGUUUUUUUAAAAAAAACUUUUGAGACAGGAAUUCAUUAAGUUAUCCAGGCUGGGCUGGAAUUUGUAGCUUUCCUGCCUCAGCUUCUCAGAGUCCUAGGAUGACAGUCAUGGGCCUCACACCCAGUUUGGGAACUACUUUUGAAAAGUAUCAUAUGCUGACCUGGAUGAUUUCUUUAAAAUAUCUUUCAUGUCCUAGAAUUCUGUUUUGUUGAUCCUUUGCUUAUUGUUUUUAAGGAUUUUAGCUGGUAAUUUUGUGUUCUGAAUGAUGUUAUGGGAAUGCCAUUUGGGAUCUGGGAUUGAUGUCCAUCCUGUUUCAAGAAAAGCAUGUAAAACCACAAUAUGUCUGAAUGCAGGGAGUGUCUAAAAUGUACGAGUGAGGAGCCGAAGUGUGACUCAGUAUACAGAUGUCAGUGUUAUAGUCUUGGUUCUUAGGGUCUCGUGAACAUGCAUUUUGCUGGCCAGGAAGCACAUAUGGUGGAAAUCAGCCCUGUACUGAGGGGUCAUUUGCUCCAUCUGUGUUUUUCUUGCCUUUGGUAUAAUCAAGGUAAUCUCCAAACUCUCAGAAGAUGAAUCCUUGUGCACAUAUUUCAUAGAUGCAAGACCUUUAUUUACGGAAAACAGUUCUAAAGAAACAGGCUAAAAUUAAGCAGGAUCAAGUGGCUCAGUGUGAGUUUCUGUGAAAGCUGCUUUUUUAUUUACAUUCUUUUUCCCCUUCACUAGUUUGACUAGUAGUCAGUGUUGCCUCAUGGAGAGAUAUUUGUGAUUAAGCCAACAAUUUUUUAUAAUUCAUAUCCCUUCUUGAUCUUCUGGGGCUCCAAUACACAGUGAUCUUACUUGCAUUCUUUAGCAUGCCAGCUUCCUACUUAUCUACAUUACUUAUAACUUUUAGAGACUUAUAACACCCUUUCUCCCCAGCCCUGCAGAGUGCGUGAGUUAAAUACUGUAUGUGUGGGAGGAAACUGCUUCCCAAGGAAAGCGUCCUACUGGGCAUCCAGUAGCUUCUUGCUUAGCAUUCUAAAUUCUUAGACUGAGACAUAGCCGGAGUCAGUCGUAAAGUUUUAUCAUGAGUCUUCUUCUUUUGAAAGGAUACAUUCCAAGGUCCUUCCAUAGGUCUUAGACCCUGGAUAAUGCUGAACCCUGGACAUAAAUAACUUUGUAAAUAUUACAUAUAUGUAUUUAUAUAAAUAUGCUCAUGCCAAACUAUAAUUUAUAAAUUAUAUAAAUUAUAUAAUUUAUAGGUAGAGUAAAAUAUCUACAACAGUGACUAAUAGUAAAAUAGAAGAGUUAUAGCUACACACUAUAAAUGCAAGUUACAUGAGUGUGGUCUGUCUGUUUUGAAACAGUCAAAAUAAAUAAUAUUUUCUGACUGUGUUUGACUGUAUCACUGAAACUCUAUCAGUGAAGCCACAGAUACAGGGUAUUACUCUGCCAUGCACCAUCCUCUCUACUGCAGGAGCUUUUCUAAGCUUGAUGACCUUUUAUGAACAUCGGCCUAAGUGUGGGGAUAGAAUCUCCCACUUUAAAACUGUUAUUUUAGAAGAUUCGGUUUCCAUUAGUAGGAAAGCUAAUUCUUUCAGAUCAAAGAAAGUGCUUAAAUAUUUGCAAACUUCCUAAAUUUGUAAGUGGAAGCUGAAGAUUAUUGAAAAGUUCAGAGAUGUUUCAGGGAAUAAUUUAUAUCCUUAGUGAGUCCAGAUAAUUAAAUUUUUUACAGGAACUGUUCGUCUUUGUCUCCAAAUCAAAGAAGAGUCCCUCAUUAAGAGCCCUUUUGCUUUUGGUUUAAUAUGUCCCAUACUAAAUUUGAUGAUAAAUCAGUCCUUGUAUCAUUCAAUCUAUAUUUCAGAGAUUAGGGAAAGAUAAUGAUAUAGUCAGUGAACUAAACUUUUGUUUGCAGGUUCUCAUUGUAUUGCAGAGAAAGUAUCAUAUAGUAGAGCAGUGAUUUCAUCAAUUAAUUAAUUAACUCAUGCAAACUGUCAAGGUAAUCACAGUAUUCUGGGUGGUAAGCUAAGUCUUAAUGUCCAAGUGACUCAAGAAACAGAUAUACAAAUGCAUGGUUUGAAACAUUGUGCGUAUCAUAAUGGGACAUGUAGAGAUAAAGGGGAGAAAUCAAUUAUCCCUGGCUUGAUGAGGGACCCUCGAGACAAGAGGGUACUUAGCAUUUCUUAUGGCUGAUCCCACAAGUGAUUAGGGCCCCCUCGAUGACAUUAAGCUGUUUCCCAGAAACUUUUAUGAAGUCUUACCUACCUGACCUCCCAGUGCUGGUGCCGCAGGAGUGUCUGUUGUGGAGAGAACUCUGACUGGGUAGAACUUGACCGCUAUAAAAAUCAUUCAUAAAUUUCCCCAGGAAACAUUAAAUAGGAAUCAGGGAAGGAGUGGCACAGAUGCUUUCCUUGUAUUUGUUCCUAACAUAUUGUAACAAAAGUCAGGGUUUCCUUUUUAAACGGUUGUAAAAGUGGUUGCUGUAUUUUAUAUCAUGGUGCAAAACUCAAGUGAGAGUAUGAAAGGAAAUACUUACAAUGUACAGAGUACUUAGAAAAGCUAUAAAAAUGUAAGGCAAUUCUAUCAAUUAUGCUUUCAAGAAAACAUGAUCAAGAUGAGAAGUAGGCAAGAAAAGAAGGGAAGGGGAGAAGAAGAAACAGAGAUGGAAAGAGGGGAAAGGGAAAGAAAGGCAGGGAAGGAAACGAGAAAAAUCAAGCGACAUGCAUGAGUCAGACACUGGUCUCUAGGCUGCAGGCUCUGUGUUGUGCAGAACUGUGCAUGUGGGGUUAGAUUUAUGGGGAGGAUCACAUCAGCCUCUGAGACAGUGGCUGCUGUGCUUGGUUGGAUUGACUAUUCAAAGAUCAGAAUUGAUAGAUCCCUCUUUGCCCUUGAAGCUGGAUCUGGCCCCAUAUAUUCAAGUCAGUAUUUUGGGAAAUUCCUGAAAGUGGCCUCCAUGUUUAAAGGUAUUUGUCCUAUGUGGUUAGCAGAUGUUUAAGAUGCUUCUUAAGGGAUAUUCUUCCUCCUAAAUAUCACCCGAUGUUCAUUGCUGUUUAUACUAGCUUCCUUUUCAUUUGAUUUUGUCUGGAUUCUUGAUAUGUUUCCCAUAACAAGCUAUGUGACUCCCGCCUGGGUUUCCUCUCGUCUGUUUUUCACACUCAUGUUGAAUUUCUUUUUCUAAGACAUCCCUUGAUCAUAACUUUGUCCUGGUUAAAUCUUGAAACAGUUUCACUUCUUUUUUAAAAUAAAGUCCCACACUUUCAUGUGGGCAGUGUGGCCCCUACUCAUUGUCCUCCUGCAUAUGCUUAUUUGUCCAAGUCCAACAUUUUUUUGGCUACAAGCUUACUUGGAAUUCUUAAAAUACUUGAUGUUUUGUUCAUUGUUCUCAUUCAUUCAUACACACACACACAUACACACACACACACACACACACACACACACACACACCUCUCUUUACAUUAUAUACUUCUGCCUAACAAAUUUUCUAGCUCAAGCUGCUUAACAUACCAUACAUAGAUUGGACAGCUUAGGCAAAAAAUUUUAUAUCUCAUAGUUUUGGAAACUAGGAAGUCAUAAGUCAAGGUUAUAUCUGGAUUGAACUGAAUUUAUGUAUGCAGUCACCUUCUCACUGUAUCCUUAUAUAAUCUUUCUUCAGUGGCAGUGGAGAGAGAGAGAGAGAGAGAAAGAGAGAGAGAGAGAGAGAAAGUUGGUGUUCUUAAAAGCCACCAAUCCUACUGAACUGGAACUCACCCUUAUGUCCUAUUUUAAUCUGGAUUACUUCCUACAGUUCCCAUCACCAAUUACAGUCUCAUUGGGAAAAUUAGAGUUGUAACAUGAUUUUAAGGAGGACACAAUUUGAUCCAUAGCAUGACUUAUUUUUCAAGAAUCAGCUCAGUUUCAAUUAUAUAAGGACUUUCUGGUCUCUUCCAGGAUAGGUGGUUGCUCUUUUUUACCUCAUUGUCAUUGUUCUUUCAAAGGCAAGAACUUGUAUUCCCUCAUCUGGAUGAUGAAUGUACUGUCAGGUGUUUGAUUAGUAAAAAUGCCUGUCAAUGACAGGUCAGUGUUAGUAUUCCAUUUUCUGUUUGGGAAUAAAUAAAAUACAAAGGCAGUGACAUCAGAUAUUCUGUUACCAGUUCCUUUGAUUUUGGUUUUUUUUUUUACUUUGAUCCCCAAAAUGAUCUCCUAACACAUUUCCAAAAGUAUACCAUCUCCAAUCCAUAAGCAGAUUAAUUUUCUUAACAUUACUGUUUAUACCAUUUUGCUAUGUAAAGCUUUAAUCUUUCUUUUCUGCUCAGUAAAGUCAAACUCAUUUGCCUGAUAUUUAAGGCUGUGCAAUCUGUUUAUGACCUGAUUUUACUGCUUUGUCUGACACUGGUUUCCUAGCAAAAACCUUUAUGCAGCGGCCGUCUACACUGCUCACCACAGCUGAAAAGCACUGUGAUUACCCACCCUGCUACCUCCGUGAUAGCUACCGUGUGAAUGCACCUCUGCCUGUGCCCGUGUCUUUUGUUUUAUGUUUGCCUUCCUCAUUUACCUCUUCAACAUGACUCUUUCCCCAUAACCUUUACCUUCACUCCUCACAUCUGCUUCUUGAUUGUUUUUUAUUCUACACCAUUCAGGAAAUAACCCUUCCAUUUUUAACCUUCUCCUGUAAUACUUAGGUGAUUUGUCAUAACCACUUGAACUUAUCACAGGCCAUGCUAUAUUGAAGAAGACAGAGUAUUAGAGUUCUAAUGCUAUCAUCGCUAUUUAUAAGCAAAAAUGAUUUCUUUAUCUUCGAUAGGGAAAUGGUGGUGUUGAUCCAGUCUUUGUUAGAGUAGGGUAAGGAACCAGUUUGAAAAUAACAUUUGUACGAAAGUGAUGUCUACCUCAAAGAGGGUCUUCCUAUCUGUGUCUGUUACUAGUUUGUGAGUCUCAUGAAAGUCAGACUUGCAUACCAGCACUCCCCUUUUAUCCUGAAGCGUGCGAAGGAUGAUAUUUUACUCAUAAAAUAGCUACCGUGUGAAUGCUGAGUAAUCUGCAUGGGAAGGAGAGUGAGCUACCAAGGCGUCCUUCUAGCAUUGUGUUGUUGACAAAUGAGACCGAUUAUCCUCCAGGAAUGGGAGAUUACAGAGACUGUUACUUUCUCUUCAAGCGUUUCCUACCCCCAUCUCCUCAGCGUACCCACAUGUAUGCCUAAUUAUUCCUUGUUCUUCUCAGUUUUCAUUAUGCUUUAGGAAGUGACUAUGGACCAUGACCUUCAGCCGUUUCUUCCCUUGCAGGGCUUGUGCUUGAGGGAGCAAUGGAAACCUUGCCCAAGCCAGAGAUCUAGGCUGUGUGAGGCGCUAUGUGUUGUCUUGGUACCAUAAAAGGGCCUGGAGCAGUAGGUAACUGGACAAAAGCAUGGGAAAGAGAGUGGGAGCUGGAGUUGGAGAUUAGAGACCGCUGGUUUUUGUAGCUCUUCGCUUUUAAUGUUUGUUUUAUCAAAGUUAUUAUCUAAAGCAUGUCCUCUGAUGGGCUUUAGGCACCGGUUAGGGAACAGUUCUGGACAUAGCUAUGAACGAUGAAGGAUUAGUUAUGCAUCUGGGACCACUAAUGUAGGGGAGGCCUCAGGAUAAGAGCUCGUUAUAUUUUCCUCUUGUGGACUCUUGAUUCAGUUGUCUGGGUGUCAUUUCAGUACUUUGUCAUACUAAAACCUAACUUAAAAGAUUAAAAAAUCAUACUGAGGCCGCAGCGAGGGCCAGGAGGAGAACAGAGCUCCCAAGAUCCGGCCACGGAGGGACUCAGGCAGCUUAUUCACCCGCCCUCUUGGUAAGCGCCUGCAGCGUGGGCCUGGAGGAGAACCAUUACCUGUGAGCCUACUGCCAUGUGGGCUGAAAAUCAAGCACCCUUCCCCGCCUGCCCCCUCCCCGCAUAGCUACUGGGGUUAGAUGUCUCAGCAUCUCUUGAGAUGAUGACCAUAUGCAGUAUAACAAAUAUGGGGGAUUUCCUUCUAUCUUCUGUUUGAAGGCAAAGGUUGUUUUCACUGUUUUGUUAUGUUUCUUUUGCUCUAUGCACUAUUCUCAAUUGGUUUUAUAAUGUUCUAUUUUUGCUUUAAUUUAACUAUACCUAAUAGACUGGACAACUAUUAUGAAGUUAAAGAGAUAUACUUUAAUACAUAUUACUACUAUCCAGUAUCCUACUGUGAAAUCCUGUACUAAUUUCACUGCAUUGUCUCGAAAAAAUAAAUCAUGCUGAUUCUGUCUUAUAAAAGGUGACAUUGUGCUAAUCACGGGUCUCCUACAUUAAUUUUGAUUUUUGUUUUGUUUUAAUGCAAUAUUUUGAUUGCCUUAAAAUAUUGCCUAUCUGGAUUUCUGAGAUUUUUGAUUUCACCUUAAGUUCAUGACUAAUACAAGUAACUCCUUGCCUUCACCAUUAUUUAUAUGAUUUUAAUGAUUUUUGUUGGUGUACCAGUGACAAAUGAAAUCCUUAAAAAUAUUGUCUCAAUUAUAGAAAAAUUGUGUUCUUUCUUGAGGAAGAAUACUAAAAAAAUAGUAAACAUGCAUCAUAUAACCUGUGAGAUCAUGGAACAAUCAUUAUCCUUGUAACAUAGUGACAUGAUGUUCUAGGAUUCUGCUCUGUGUAUCCUAGAAUAUUCUGGUCAUGGGCGGUGCCUUCCUACUUAGACAUAAUCUGCACAUACAGGGACUUUGUAGAGGGGACAGUUAGACUCAGCUGACACUUGUGAACACACAUGGUAUUCAGAUGCUCUCGGAUCAGGUAUCCAGACUUUACCAACUUUUAUCGUUCUCACAGCAACCCUGUGUGAUGUUACCUUCAGUUAGUACCUGUGCCCAGCAUGUGCAAGGUCCUGGGUUCCAUUCCCAGCACUGCAAAAUAAAUAAUAAAUCAGUAAACAUUUAAAAAUUUAGAAUAUAGACUUUAGAUUGAUAGGAAUAGUAUAUCCCUUGCCUAUACACAUACAUAGCCUCUCUCAUUGGUAAUGUCACCCCCAAAUUGGUACACUUGUGACAACUGAUGGAUCUGCGGUGACUCAUAAUUACCCCAUAGUUUCCUUUAGGGUCCACUCUUAGUGUUUUCCAUUUUAUGGGUUUUGGCAAAUGUGUAAUGAGAAAUAUCUAUUAUUCCAUCAUAUAGAAUAGUUUCACUGCCCUAAAAAUCUUCUGUGCUCUGUUCAUCCCUCCUUCUUUCUAAAUUCUGGCUACUACUGAACUUUUUUUAUUCUGUCCAUUGUUCUGUCUUUUCUAGAAUGUCAGAUAGUUGGAGCCAUGUAGUACCUGGCCCUUUCAGAUCAGCUUCUUUCACUUAGAAAUGUGCAUUUAAGUUACUGUAACAUGGCUUGAGGCUCGUUUCUUUUUAGGGUUGAACAACAUUCUACUGUCUGGAUGUUACUAUAUCAUACCACUUUCAUAGCAGGACAAUGAACCUAAGUGAGAAAAAGCACCUGCUCCAAAGUCAAGAUGAACGGGGGGCUAGGGCUUGAGCCUCUGAUCCCCUGAUGCCAAUUUGUGUGCUAUUUCCACAAGUACACAGCUGCUUCAGGCAGGAAGAAGCGAACUCUGUCCAAAUAUAUAUAGAUACAAAAGAGAAGUGCAUCGAUGAGAUCUUAAAUAAGCAGAGUAGUAUUUAGAUCUUCAUUUUUAGAUGAGGCAUGGCAGAAACCAGUUGCUAUUUUUCCUUUAGUAAUUCUAGAAGUGUUUUGUGGAGUGAGCGGUCAGUGGCUUUAACAGGCAAAAUGCAGGCUUCUUAAUAGAGGAAAGACAGGCUGGAACUUGGGAGUUUCCCAAGCAGAUGAUGGCAUUUGAGAAAUGCGGGAGAAUAUGUGAGCGAAUUAACUUGAGACAGUCUACAUUCAAAGUUCCAUAUAGUGCUGCACACCAACUAUUAAGUUAGUAGAAUUAAACAUGACAAAACAGAACUUUUUUAACAGAAUCAAAUUUAUGUUUCUCUUAUUCUGAUGUUUCCUUUUCCUCCUAGCAGAGCAUUGGAAAUAUGUAUUGACAACAGUUUGCAUUUAUUAAGCACUUACCAUGUGUCAGGCCUGGUGCUAACUACUUUGUAUGCAUUAAUUUCUUUAAUUCUCACCAUAUGUCUACAAAAUAGGUUCUAUUGUUCUGCUUAUUCUGCAGACAAGGAAAUUUCUCAUCAAAAGAGAAGUAACUUGCACAAGUUCUGACAGCUAAUUAAAAUAUACUAGAGUGGCAUUUGAUUUGGACUCAUGUCUGUCUAAUUUCAGAGCCCAGACUCAUUCAUCAAUAGGAUCUGGCACAGAAAGUAUAUUAAACUAGUGUCAAUUUUUCUUCACAUUUAAUCAUUCUCUUUAGAUUUCUGAAAGAGUCUUAUAGGAGAAUGUGGCAUUACUAAACAUACAUUAAAUCUAUCAUGCAAGGAUAUUCUAACCACUGUACAGUUGCCUAAAUGUUGACCUGAUAUUUGUGGUAAGAAAAAGGAGAAACAUUUUAUAUUUUUGAUGUGGCCAUAUUUAUGUAAAGUUACAUCAGAAAAACAUUGUCAUUCCUUAAAAGUAGAAACAAAAAUUGCAUUGUGGUUUGCAAAUUGGACAACUCUAACAUAUAUCAAUACGUCUUAGUGAAUAAAAAGAAGCCAGCCUUUAUUCAAUACACUUGAAAAAGUUUUAUUCCCUAAAUGAUGAUACAUUGUGUUUUUCAUUUUAUUUUUAAACUUUGCUCAUUUUACAGAAAGCAAAACUCAGGAAGUAGUUUGCUGAAUUAUCAAUGUAUCAGUAAGUAAUAGAGUUUGAAUUUCUAUCCAUAAUGUAUUUGUUUCAAAAGCUUGUACUUUGUUCACUCUAUUGUAUCACAAUCUUCUCAUGAAGCUCAGUUUCCAGAAUAGAUAUUGCUUCUGCUUUUCCUAAGUUGGCCUUGUGGGAUAUGGAAGUUCUGGGAUCCCUCUUAAAGACAGAUGUGGUAAUUAAAAAUAUCUGUGAGCAGCAGGUUUUGAAUAUAAGGCUGACACUGAAAUGCUCAGGUGCUCUCCGAAUGAGACACUUGAAUGUAUUAGAUCUGCUCUCUCUAAAUUUCAUGUUCUCUUUGAUAAGUGGGGCUGACAAGCAGUGUGACACUGCCUCAGAAAGCCCUGGAUUUUCUGCAAAUUAGCUAUGCAGUUUUGUGGACAUUGCUUUUCCUUUUUUGUAAGAUGAGAAGAGGUCGAACAUGUGGAAUUCCUGGGUCUGUGAGUGUGCAAUAUACCUUUGAUUUGGGGGUAAACUUCAGUUCGGUCUUGAUUCAGGUGUGUAAGAUGGGCAUACUGUUAAUUUUUUAUUUCUCAUUUUUUGCUGUAACAGUAAAAUGUCGAGGAGACAAAAAAAAAAAAAAGGGAGACUCAAACAAUCUUUAUGGCUCUCUAUAAUCAUGGUGACUUAGGUUCGUAUAGAUCUGUAUGCUUUCAAAUCUCUGACAUGUAGCAUGUAUCAUUUUAUCUCUCCUUAGCCCAGAUGAAGUAAGGUAGGGUCAGACACAGGCAUGGGUUACUUAAAUUUUUCAUCGGUAAAGUAUAUUCACAUCCAUCAAAAACAUCAGGUAUGCACUUUAUUAAUGCCUAAGUAAGAGAAACUGAGGACACAUUGAGAACAGAGCAGAAGCACUACUGGAAAAGUGACCAUGAUCAGAAAGACAUUUCGGAUGCCCUGGGGAGUAUUUGUUGUUGGGAGUAGAGAGUAACUGAGAAGGAUGAACUGGGAUGAUUCCCAGGUUUUUGGAUGACUGGUGUCUGGUUGCCUGUCUUCAAGGUUGGCCAUGGAGGGUUGAGUGCUUGUGGGAAGGAAAGGGCACCAAUGCUGGUGUUCACUGAUGUUCUUUUUUUCCAGCCAAGUUGGGUUUUCGUUUCCGCUUGGCCACUGGGAUUCGGUUGGCUUUUGGAAGUAUUUGUCUAGUGUUCUGGACAGAUAAACAAGAUGGAAAAUGGACUAUGAAAGUAUAUUUGUAGUGGAGCUGAUAGGAAUUGGAGCUUUAGCUAUGAAAAGAUGACUGUGGGAGAAUAGGUGGGGAGAAAUUGCUUGGUUUUGCCUGUUCCUGCAGACGCCAGGGAGUUUUACUGAGCAAGUAGUAACCACUGGAUAAAGCGCCUCAGAGAAUCACAGUUCCAGGCAUCUCACUGGGGAGGCACACUUCUCUUACUGGCAUGAGGGUAGGUGACUUAGAGUCUUCUCUCCACUGAGUACCUUUUGCUAUGUCACUACUUGCAUAUCUAAGGCUCAAAUAAGGUGGAGGAAGUGAAGUCUGAAGGCUCUGCUUGGUUACAGGUUACAGAACUCUGGUUUAUUAUGUUUUGAAAUGGGUCCCUUAAAAUCUUGGACUUUUCCAUGUUUUACUGUUAUUUGAGUUUCUGUUGCCAUUCCUAGAGGCUGUUUUGGAUGGUGGUGAGUUGGCGCUCUUAGUGACAUCAAUAAUCUCAUUUAAGUAAAACAUUUUAUUUUAGUUUUUAGUUUUUAAGGAGUCCUCUCCCCAGAUCUUUCUUCCAGAAAGCUGCUCCAGAAUAGCCCUCUGAUAUCUUUCUCAGAACUUCUCUUUUUAGUUUAGAAUUUUAUCGGCAAUUCUUAUGCUAAAAGGGGUCAGGAGAUGAGGCAUUUCUCACGUUCCACUUGAAGCUACUCAUGAAUAAUGGCCUAUAUCACCUCUAUUGUCUGCCCCAAACCAUAAGCAAUCAGACAUAAAGAAGAGAAAUUAAAGAUCACUGAAUGAGCCAGCAACACAAGCUAAGGCAGGGGUAAAUAGGUAAAAAAAAUUCAAUAUAGAGCAGACAGUUAUGUUGGGGGGAAUAUUUGGGUAGAUUAACAACUCAACAGAUAGGGAAUGAGCCAGAUUCUCUGGUUUAAGGGCAAGAAAGACAGAAAAGUAUUCUGAAAUCGUUGGAGUGAGAAUAAGGAUAUCUCUCCCAAAGAGCCACGUAGCUAAAAUAAACUAGGGGUCACUAUUCCAGCAUGAUUGCCUAAAGGACUGAAAUUCUUACUGUGGUUUUCACUGUCUGUUUCCCUGGCUGCCUGUGAUUUAUGCUGCCCAUUGCUGUUGUAUGGACAGAAUCUGUGCCUCUGAAUACUUUCUUUCCUCAUCAGUGAAUCAAUUCUGCAUUGCAGUUGGGGUUGUAGGCUUGAGGGUCUGGGCAGCCUGGAGAAGGUAUUAAAUGGAAUUAGAAAAGCACAGUGAAUAAAAUAAUUACAAAUGCGUUCCAUUGCUCUGUGCAAAGGCUAUGUGUAGUCUCUCCCUGCAUUUAAUCUAUAGGUCUAUAUAUGUGUGUACAGGUAGAAACAUCUGAGAGCAGAGCCUUGUAACUUUGCAGCGGGGCAUCUGCUUCCUCAAAAACUCAGCCAAGACUUUCCACAGGGGCAAUUUUUAAAAGGCAAACUUGGGCUUCAGUGUGGUGCCAGCUGAGUCAUUUUGAAAUAAGAAAAGGAAACAAAGGCCACACCAACUGAGGAGGUCACAGAGUGUGACGAGAGGUCUGUAAGAGGGCAUGCCAUGCUGCCUAAUGGGAGAAAGCCAAGCUUUUGUGCCGGAGCAAGUCCAGUGAGUGAUGGAUGCUUUAUGUGUCGAGGCUCAGACCUUCCUGUCCAGCAGCCUGCCUGCUGCUGGACUCUGAGCGAUGACUGGUUUGGGGACGUCUGGCCUUUUGUUUCAGUCUUUCAAGGCAAUGACAUCAGAUUUGAUGGGGCAUUGGUGCCUUCGGAGAGGCGAGUUUUAUGUUCCUAUUUUCUUAAAAUUAAAGCUUGUAAGAAGUAAAUAGAAAGGAGAACUUUUAUCCAAAGCAGAAAUCAAAGAGCUGAGUCUUCUAAAUGUGAAUAGUAAUAAACUCUCAUGCAAUCACUUUGACCUUUCAAAACCUCUGUAAAGAUUACCUCAUAGCUUCCCUCCAUUAAGACAGGAAGAAAGUAAGGCUGCCUCUCACUCUGUGUCCUGUCUUCCUUUUUUAAAAAAGCUCAUUUAAUGUAACACUCCUGCAUGGAAGUCCAGCAUUAGGGAGAACAAGCCAGUGGCUGUGCUUUGCUGCUUUCUGAGAACAUGCUUUGAUACGAAGGAGUUGGGUCAUAGUCCUGAGCAGGGGAGGUUGGUGUGUCCAGAGUACUCUUCAUGGAGGUAGUUCAGGGGUGCUCCUAAGGACUGGCUAAUGUUCAUACCAUGUGCUCUCUGAACUGAGGGGGCAACCAGUCUACAGGAUCAGAAUUAGAAAUGAAGUUUUGGGAGGCCUCUCUGAGCGUGACAUUUCAGUAGGUGGAGGAGCUGGUCUCUUACUCUGGACAGAUGAAAAUUUCCAGAUACAUGACCCGAAGCACUGUGUUUAAGUAAGAACCAAUAUUCGGUGGUAAACAUUCUCCUGAAGACUACCAGGAUCUAGCCAUAGCCAGGGACUGCUCAAUUUUGUUAUAUUUAGAACACUUUCUUUACUUUUUCACUUACUGAAAUCUUACAGAUAUAUGGAUUAAUUAAGCCAUUCAUUUGUCCAGCGGGCAUUGAUACAUUAAGUUCCUAGAGUGGGUACAAUACUAAGCCAAGCACCGGGGAAUACAAAAGAAGUGAAGGAACAGGACAGACCUGGUCCUUGAGAAAUACAUCAUCGUACUGAGUGGGAUAGAAAAUACCCCACUGAGUGACACAGAGCCGUGGAGGAAUGGUACAGUGCCGGGGCUGACGUGCUUAGGGAGGCAGGAAGGUGUGGACAGCGGCCAGCUUUGAAGUAGAUUUGAAGAAUGCUCUGAGUUUAAAUUGGCAAAAAGAAGAAGAUUUAAGACAAACACCUUAACUUCUGCAGAGCUUCUGCAGGAAUGUGAGGUUCUGUUCUUUUGGCUCUCAGGAGCUGCUCCACAUCAUUGCAUCUACCUUAGCACCCAUGACCUCCCUCCUUCCCAAAACUGUACCUUUGCUAUGAGGCGCACAGUAGGUGCUGUAGGAGGAUUUGCCCCAAGCAAAAGCGCACCGAUUGCCCAUUUUGCCUGACUUCCCUGUGGUGGGCAAGGCAGAGCUGGUAUUUGCUUGUACCUUUGUCUCCUGUAGCAGAGAGAUGGUAACCACACAUGAUCAGGAUUCUUGCACUGACUACUAGCAUGAUGGCUUCCCAAAGCAAUGUAGCUUCUGGAGAAACAUCCUCCAACUCAUGUUCACGAAGAUUUUAUACUCAAAGCUGGUGUUGCUUCUUCCACAGCAUGCUUUAUAGCAUUGUAAAUGCCCCUUCUUCAGAGGCCUUUCUGUGCAGAUCACAGUCAUUUUCUUUUCGGUUCUAGUACUUAAAUCACAAUGUACAAUUAUUUAUUUACCUGUACAUCAUCUGAUUAAUGUUUAACACUAUCUAGAACUUGUUUCCUGUGAGUACAGGACCUAAAUUGUUUGUCUCACCAUAUAUGCACAAUCCUAGCCUAGGUAUCCAAAAAUAAGUGAUGGAUGGAUAACAGAAUUUAACAUCACUAAUGGUUAGAGAUGCGUAGUCCUGGUAACCAGGACACCUAGGAUCUCUUUGGGAUUAUCACAGCCUGAGAGAUUUCCUGGCUGCUGGGUCUAACAUCACAUACAGGUUCCCCAAGAAAGGAGUGGAGAGAGAAUGCUUACUGUCACAGAAUGCUUGCUGGAGCAAAGACAUCCUGUGCCCUCUGAGUGAACUCACAGUGCCUCGGAACUGUCACCCAGCUGUGUUAGAGGUGCUGCCUUGUCUGUGAUUUCAUGCAGGAUGCCUCCAGCAUUGCCACAGGAAUCCAUUUUAUUGCAAUGUGUAUUUUCUAUGAGGACAGAGAAAAUCAGCUCAGAGAAGCAGCUUUAGUUAUAGUACAUUUCCAAAGGAAAAGAAACUCCCCAUUAUUUCAUGUUUUCAGUUUCUUACUGACUUUUGACCUACAGAUUUUAGCUUCACGUUCUGGAUAGGUGCUAAGAUAAUAGCAAUAACACAGCUGAUCUUUAGAGAAACACUAAGCUAUUGAAUCUUUACGACAGCCUUAUCAAAUGAAUAUCAUUGUAUUAAUAGGACCAUUUUAUGGAGACAUAGAAGAUGAGACAACAGAACAAACAAGUGGUGGAACUGAUAUUUGAAGGCAGGUUUAAUUCUGCAGCCUGCAUUACCUAUAUUGCCUCCUGUUAUAGGGCAAUAUUUACUUGAAUCCUACUCUUGUAUCAGGCUCAUAGGUAGUUCAUAUGCAUUUUCUGUUGGGGUCUUGUAAUCACAGUUACCAUGCUUGUAUAGUAGGUGAAGACAUCGAGGCUCAGAGAGGUUAGAAAACUUAUUCAAGAUCACAGAGCCAGUGGCAUAGGAGGUCAAAGUUUGCUUGGUUUACUGGAAAGCCCACACUUCCUGCCACUAGGCAUAUUCCUUACAUACUCCCAGAAAUGUCCUAUAUGGGCAGUACAAUGUAGUGGCAUGGUGGGGUAAAUUGCGGGCCACAUGAAUGACUUGUCAAAUUUCAGCAGAAUGCUGUGAGUGCUGACAAGUGGGUCACAGCUGUCACUGAGUCACAACUUUUAUCCUUCAUGCAUUCUUGGAUAGGGGAAAUUUUUUUUAAUUAACAAUGCUGUUUGAUCAAAUUGACCUGCUUUCCAGAAUUGAAAACUCCACACUUUCCAUUCUUGUAUACUUCCGGUGAAUGAACUGUUCCAUAGUUUUUAUUCUUUCCACUUGGUUCCUGACCCUGCAAGGGAGAACGUGAAAGAGGGCAAGCAUCCUCUGUAUCUUCUUCUGUUUAUUUCCAUCAAAAUCUAUCUUUCUGCCAAUGAAAAGUAAGGGCAUGUAAAUUACCCAAAUCAGCUCUCUGUGUGUUGGGAUAAUGUGUGCUAUAGUAAGUUAUUGUACACAAGAUGUCCAAGAACAUGGGCACUCCUUGGUCUCGGUCUACUCUCCAUCCAUGCUGUGUCUACGUGCUGGCCAGGAGAUUGGCCAGACACCCCACGCCUCAACCCCUGCAAUUCUACUCUCCAGUCUUUGAUGUACUUUGGCUCCUGUUUUUAUCUAGUUCUGAGAAGAUGAGCUCAAACUUGGCCUGGCCUCUCCAAUCUUUAAUUUAUAAGUGCUCUUGUCAGUCCCCAGGCCUUGACUCUCUCCUGCAGAUUUUUAUUUGAUUAACCCUUUUGACUCCUGACUUCCCUGGUUGGCUUAAAAUGGAAUCUUCUUUCCUAAUCACAACCCUUUUGAAUUCAAUUUCAGCUCCUUUGCCAGCCUGGCCAAUCUUGAGACACAGCAGGUCUCUAUAGCUGUCAUAGCGUACCUGCAAUCAGCUACACAACUGGGCCCAGACCUUAAGCAAUGGGGUAUUUUUGUCCUCUCUGAUAACAAACGUCUUUUAGUUUCAGUAAUGAUGAAAUAGAAAAAAUGCUUUGACAGUUUCAUUUACUACAAAGAAUUUAAAUAUGAGCAUCUAAAUGGAAUAUGUGGCUCUCAAAUAGGCUUACAUGUGUAUAGAACUUAAUCAUACUUAAAAUAUCAAUAUAGGUAGGAGUGAAUGUGAGGAAAAUUACCAAGUAUAGGAAAAAAUAAACCUCCGCAGUUAUAUCUUUAUGUCACUAAAAACACCAAAAUAAAUUUCAGGUAGAUUACAUGCAUCAAUUAUACAUAUAAAUAACAUAAAGAUAAUGUUGGCAAAUAUUUAAUGUUGAGAGAAAAAGCUUCAAAUAUAAAAGCAUCUGAUGAUAUCACAAAGCAAAAUAUGAGAUUUGUAUAGAAAGAAUACAAAAUUUCUCUGUAAAUUAAAAAUAUAAAGUACAAAAAUAUACUUGUGACAUUUGAAAAAGACCAUAAAUGAGUAUAUAUGAAUAUGUAUAUAUAUAUACAUGUAUAUAUAUAUCCCCACAUAUAUGCACACACAUAAAUUAACAUGCAUAAAUAGUGCAUCUUGCUGGGUUUGGUGACACAUGCCUUAAUCCCAGCACUUGGGAGGCUGAACCAGGAGGAUCACCGUGGGCUUCAUAGUGAGUUUAAGGCUAGGCUGGUCUAUCCAGCAAGACCUUGUCUCAAAACGCAACAAUAUAUUUAAAAAGUGUGUCCUGCAAAUCAAUAAGAAAAAUAGUAGUAGUGCAACAGAAAAAUGAAAUAUGAACAUGGAUAAAAAGAAAUUGGCAGUGAACUCUUGAGAAAUAUAAGUCCAAUCUUAAUAAAAUUUAAAGGAACACAAACAACAAAAUUAAGCAACAUGCUGAUAACUAGUAGACAUUAAAACUAAUAAAACAAAACUCAAAGCUAGUGAGAGUGCAGAGAGAUGGGAACUCCGUCCAAUAGGUACGUAAAUUUGCCAAUAUUUUCUGUAAGGCUCUUUAAUAAUACAUGAAAAUAUUUUGAUUCAUUGAUCUCAAUUCUAGUCUAUACUACAGAAAAUUGCCAGAUAUUUAUGCAAAAAGAUGUUUAUUACAAUUACAUGUAUAAUCCAAAAUUUAGAAGCUCCUAAAUGUCUAGUAUUGGAGGAAUGCUUAAGAAACUUAUAUGUGGAAAAUCGGAUAUAGAAGAUAAUCCUUUAAAAUGUGUUUGAAGAAUAAUGUAUCAAAAAUGAUCUGGACAUACCUACCUGGGAAGGUAAGAAAAGAAACUAUGUUAUGAUCCAAACAAUGCUAAAAAAUACCUAAGUAUAUGGAUGGACAUCCACAUAUGUAAAGGAUAAGAAGGAAAUGUGUUAAAAUACCAAGUGACUGUCUCCAAGAGUUAUGAUUAUGGAUAAUUUUAAUCAUCAUCUUUGCAUUUUUCCCUAAGGUAUUGCUAGCAAACAUGAGGUUUUUAUUAUAAUUGGAAAAAUAGUAGACGUUAUUAAAAUAAGUAUACCUGCAUUAUUCGAAUUACUGUGGACUUUUUUUUUUUUUUUUAAAUUUCCAUUAAGCACCAAGGCAGAAAGGAAAAGAUCCUUCCUUGGGUUACACCUGGGCUAGCGCAGGUUAUUUGAGGAGCAGAGGAAAUGGAUCUCCAGAGUCCUCUGGAGGAAUCAGUGAGCUGACACACUACACAGUGCUAACAGAGCAACACAACAGUUCACUGGGUACUUUGCAUAGACAGAAAUUAGAAGCAGUGGUUGUGAUUAGCACGAAGCCAUAUGGAAAAUACUACUGGGAUCUGUUCCCCUCCUGGAAAUUGAGAUCCAGCCAUUUCUGAUCUCAUGAAUCUGCUCUUCUAAAAGCUAUCCUAAAUGGAAAAAAAGUGCUCUGAGCUUUGACUGUGGUUUUCCUAACAGAGUCUUUGCUCUCCAUGUUGAUAUUUCCGACACUAACCAACAAGCUUUUAUGGGGAAGGAAACCACUUGACUUGACAAAGCCUAGCUCAGCAACAUCCAUUGAAUGAAUGUGCUUAAUGAAUGUGUGAAUUCACAUUGCACUGUUUUGUCUGAAAAUAAGUUUUUUUGUGGAUUUUUUCUCAGUGUUCACCAGAGUAAACUUAGUUUUUUGUUAUUUGGUUUUACAAUUCAGUUUGAUGAAGAUCCAAGGGGAAAAAAUGUCAAGAGGUCACCAUGUGUGCUCAGGUAUUAAUUUGCCCACACGUUAUAACGGCUGUGUUAUGUGUUGGCUCAGUGAUCUUAGCAAAGUCACUUGACCUCUCUGUGCUCUUGUUUCUUCAUCUGUGAACAAAGACAGUAACAAUGGUACAUAUCCUAUAGGGGUGUUAUUAAGACUGAAAGGGUUGUUAGACAUGAAACACUCAUCACGGUGUAAAUUGCCUGGCUUGGCACAGUGUAAGUACUCUAUAAGUGGUAGCUAUUAUUAUUUUCUUCCCUAAAAAGCAGCAGACAUCCUCUUCAGUUAAGCAGGCUAUUGAAGUAGUUUUUUAGUUACUAUAAACCACCCAAUAUUUUCUAUCAACCAUGUGUAGGUAAUGAAUGUGAUGUCUUAAUAAAGCUUGAUAUUUUGUAGCAAUUAGUGUAAGCUCCAUUAUUCAUUGUCUCUUUCCAUUAGUUAGUGAUCAUCAUGACAAAGUAAUAAAAAGGGUCCUUAAAAAAUGCUUCCAAUAGUGAAGAUGUCAAACACCAAUUACUGUAAAACACUGCUCUAAGGCUAGUGUUGUUUUUCUCACUUUCAUUUCAUGAUUUAAAAUUUGUCUUCUUUAGACUCUAAGCUCUUUAAGGGCAAAAUUAUCUUUCUACACAUCACACCUUAUAUUGUUCUUUACAAGUAUUUUACUGACAGACAAAUACUAAAGGAAUAAUUAGAUCUUUCCCUUUUUAUUUUAUUUUUUAUCUUUUUAUUGGUACUGAGGAUCGAACUCAUGACUGCAUGCUUGUAAGACAGGUGCUUAUGCCACUGAGCUAAAUCCCCAGCCCCUUUCCCUUUUUAUUUUAAACAUAAUGAAAACUUAGUGAUGACUCUUUUAGCAAAGGUAUUUCUCGUGAACUGUUAAAUUUCUUUCUGUAAUUUCAUCGUGGAACUUUAAGUCUUUAUGUUUUACCUUCAAAAGAUAUUACCACCAUAUACUGCUAAGAUUGGAAUCCAGUGGAAGGCUGAUUGGUGCUGGUCAGUUCACAUGAUUACUGUUUUAUUUUAGAUGUAAAUACACAAUUGGUCUCUUUGUCCACUUUAUUCAUUAUUUAUUCUUUUUUUUUUUUUUUUUGGUCGGUACUGGGGAUUGAACUCAUGACCAUGUGCUUACAAGGCAGGCACUUAUGCCUCUGAGCUAAAUCACCAGCCCCCAUUCUUUGUUCUUUAUGAUGAAUGCCAUAUUCAGAUUUUAAAAUAAUUAUUGCAAUUUUUCUAUCAGUGCUACUCUUCAAUUGUGUAGUACUGGGCAUAGACUGUUUUAUAUACAUUGUUUCAUUUAAUUUAUAUAGCAGAAUUGUGUUUUUAUUACUGUUUAAAAUGUGGAAAUCUGAGGAUUGGGAGGAGGCUGGGUUAGAUAUUACUGACCACAUGCUUUAUGUAUAUUAUCUCAUUAAAUCCUCACAGUAGCCCUUGAGGUAAGCAAUAGUAUUGCUGUUUUAUUAAGAAAAAUGUGAGGCACAAAGGUAUUAGGUAUAUUUUAUAGAACUGAGAUUCAAAACCUGAUUUUCCUGGUAGUACAACUUAUCUUCUUUCUACUAUACCUCAAUUUCAUAGAAAGAUUCUAGGUUUUCAUGACUGAGAUGCUGUUUUGAAGCUCCAUGGCAUUAUACUCCAGAUACAUGAAUAACAGAGGACAUCAUAGGCCAGCCCUUCUGUGCCUCAUCCUUUCUGCAGAGAACUCAUCUCCCUCUCCCAGUCUUCCCUGCUGGGGAUAAAGAUGGAGCAUACAGAUGUAGCUUUGUUAUAAUGUGUCUCUGUUUGCAGAAUCUUCAACCAAUGCACUAACCUGGAAUGUGACUGAGCUCAGCAUUCCCACCUUCUUUCUCUGUUCCAAACUUUCUAAACCCAAUUUUUAUUUGCAGAACAUUACAGAAAACUAAGAUCUGAAACUUGGGAUUCAGGGUGGCCUCGCACGUGGAGAACAAUAACUUUCUUCCCACUGUACAGUGCAUUUCAAGGGUGAUUGUUCCAAAUUCUGAGAAAGGACCAGUUUGAUUAGACAUGUGGUGGGGUUAGUGUAUUGCAGAGAAUCUCCUGGAAAAAGAUUACACUUAGUCUUGAAAAGGCAAUCUGAUCUUUAGAACCUAACCACGCUGGUGGCAAGGUAGAAUCUCCCCUGUUCAUUUUUGGAUUAGGGAAUUGUUGCUUAGUAUGCUAAGAGAAUUCAUUUUCCUUGAGUGUUUUUCCUUUCAAGUCACGUUUUAUUGCUGGAGUUACUCAGCGAAUUAAUAGGUAUAGAAAUGCAAAGCUCUUUUCUUAUUACAUUCUAUCGAUCUGAUUGCACUGUCAUUAAUUGAAAGACCAGGAAAAUGUGAUGGAUAGUUCAGCUCGAGAUUCUGUGUUCAUUUUGGCCCAGAUCUGUUGGAAGAAAGCUGCAUGAAACUGUCUGAAAGAAGCCUUUUGGUCUGACAUGAAUUAUUCUUUCUUUGUCAAUCCCUGUGAGAGCAUUAUUCAGUCCUAGUGAGAUUUACAAUGUGAAAUUGAAAACUGUUUCCUUAAAAGAAAAUCAGAACUCAGAAUGCUUAUUUAUAGAGCUGGAAAUAAUCUGUCCUGUAUGUUUUAUAGACUAUCUAUAUUGUAUACAGCAUUAAAAAAUACAAUUUUGCAAAAACAAAUUCUGACCCAAAAACAUGGAAGAGAGGAAUUUUAUUCUUUUAAGUAAUUUCACUUGCACUAUGGUGUGCUGAAAGAAUAUUUUUGUUCAUUUCGUAUUCAUCACCAGUUAGUCCACCACCAUUCUAGGAGGAUGUGUAGCUUGACAAAGAUUCAUAUGUGGUUAAGGAUUUUUUAUUGGCUAUAUUUUUAUUAUUUGAUGUACUAUUUCUAGGAUUUUCUUCAUAAAUUUAAUUUAACUUGAGAAUUUUAUAUAUGUAUAUAUAGGCCCACACACAUAUUUCAUAGGACUUUAAUAUGAAAUAUUUAAAGAGUUGCAAAAAAUAUUUUAAUUUCCAUGUGAAGGAAAAAUUCUCCCACAUCAGAUAAGAAUAUACCAGACUAUUUUCCACUUGUUUGCAAAGACACAACUUAUCUCUUUGCUUUCUAGUUCGUCGUAUUUUAAUGAGCUGAGCUGGCUUUCUAUUGUGUUUAUUAUUUUAAAUAUUUGAAGCUUGAUGUGGAGUGGGAGAAAUAUCCAAAUUUGAAACUCAUUUACAUUUGCCAUAAAACCUCAUCUGGCUCUUGCAAAUAUUAUCAUCUGGAGAAGUUUAAGAGGUUAAUUCAUAUUGUUAGUAAUGCAUGGCCUAUCCAGCUUAUGUGUUUGCAUUGUCUUUCUCAAGGUGUGAUAUUUAUCCUCGGUCCCGAUUUCAGACGUGGAGAGGUAGGAAGGGAGCGUGUUGCCAUGCGCGGCGUGACCUCAUUUUGGAACACAUCUUGGAAAUGUGUUUAAUGCUCUCUGAGCACAGAGACAAUGGAGCAUGGUUUGGGGUCCUCCUCCCUGACCUUUGGCUUGGUGGGAAAUGUGGGCUGCUUCCUCUGUUCCUCAGCUGCUCUCGGGCUGGAAGGAGGCUGCCCCAACCUUAGGAAGCAACUGCUCUUGCAGAGUGCACAGGCUGCCUUCCUCACCCAGAUAUUGUGUCUAAAAAUACACCCACCGAGAGGCAGGCAUAUGCUCGCGCCUUGGUGUGAAGGAGCUCUCGCCUGUGUGUCUUGCUCUACCCAUCUAAAUUCUGGAGUGAGGAAUUAAAUUAUUCCAGAAGCCCUGCCAGUUUUUGAUUUGCCAUUGUCUCUGCUUCUGCGCUGCCUCUGAAUGGGACCCUUGAUCCGCGGCUUUCAUACACCAGCGGGGCUGAUGGGGUCUGUGACUUUGCCAAUGGCGUCCGCUCCUUACAGUUGCAUUUGUCUCAGGAGUAUUUUUAGUUUUCUCUUUCUUGUUUUUUUUCUUUUUCCUUUUUGGGAGGUAGAGAGCUCUGGGCAGAGGUUGUACCCGACACAUUAGAACUCCGUUGUCUCUGCUGUGGUUGUUACUCCCCUCGGCGAGAGCCAAGGAGCAAACAGGACGUGACAGUGAUGAUCUGAAGUUCCACAUUUGAUUAUUUUCAUCUUUGGAAGCUAUGGCGACUUCAGGAAGUCUUCACUCUUGCAGAGGAACUGAGACCUGGAGCACCUCUUAGGUGAACUAUGAUUGACUGAAUCACCCUCGCUUCCUCCACAAGGGAAGUGGUAGAGCCAGCAGGAACUGAAAAGCAUUCUAAACUAAGGAGGCAAAGGAACAAAGACACGCAGGACUCCCGGGGCCCUGGAUGGAGGCUGGCAGCUACAGACAGCACCAGCACGUCUGAGGGACAACCAGGAGGUGCCUCUGGCUGUGGAGCUCAGGAUAUGAAUCAGAGAGAAAGAAAUGAAGACUUGUCCCAGGAAGAAAGGGGAGGACUGGCAGGGAAUUUUUUACUGGUUUGCCUUUGGAAAAGAAUGAGAAGAGCUGGUAAACUCAGCUUCCUCGCUUCUGCGCCUUAGACACAAGUGAAUGAUUUGAAGAUAUGAUUCUAGCAAAACGGAUGCAGAUUUAAAAUAAUAAGAUUCCUAAGAAGUUACGUUUUUUUCAGGUAAACACAUUUUCUUAUAAUUUCCCCCAAAUCUUUACAUUUCCUAAAUCAUUGCACAUUUUUAAAGAGUGUUAAAGAAUAUUAUAUUUUAAGUGUAAUUUAAAAGAUAGCAACCGCUUUAUAAUUUCCAUGGUCAGGGAGGUCACUAGCCAUGGCAGUUGAUUCUAUGGAAUAUGAAAUAAUUUUUAAAAUUCAAUCUCUAAAAAAACUUUCUCCUUUGUGACAAUGAUAGCAGAACUCAUUUGAAAGUAACAGGUACUGUCCUAAACUCUGGUGAUAGUGGGCAUCUAAGUUCAAAAGUGUAACAGUUAGAGGGUUGGCUCCAAAAGGCCUAAAAAGUGUUCAGAGAGAUGGAGAGAUUCAGAGAGAUGGAGUUUGUAUACACCUGCAAUGACAAUGCUGAUGUUUUAAAUUUAGUCCUAGGUUGGUGAUACUAUGUGAUAGCUUGUGGAACUAUUCUCGUACACAGCCAGUGAGCAGGACAAACUCAGCUGUCAUGACAUAGGUAGUUACUCUGUAUAGUGUCAUUAAAGGCAUUUGCACUCCUCAAAGUGUUUAACAACAUAAAUGAUGUAUUUGCUCGGUAAGUUACUCUGCGUUGGCCAUUGUUUAUAGGCAUUAGCUCGUAUCUUUCAAUUCAAUUAUUGGUAUUACUGCAUGUGAAGGAUCAAGAAAUCUUAUUGAAUGAGGGAAGCCAAACUUUCCUCUGAAAAGAAUCCAUCCUUAUUUUCCUCCUCCAGUCAAAGAAGAUUCUAAGGGAAAUCUUCAAUUACGAUAUUAGAGAAGAUGUCUAUUAUCAAACAUACUCCUUCACUAUUAAGUCAGUAUUUCCUUUUAUUUUUUUUUCUUCUCAGCAGCCUGGCUAUCUUCUGAUUGCUCUUUUAUUGUCUGAAUUUAAAACUUUAGAUUGUUUGGAAGUUAAUAUUAGUAAUUAUUUUAAGUGAAUAAUUUAUAUCUGUCCUAUAUAUGCCACAGAAAAAUAAAAAGAUGCUCCCAGAUGAAAUAGCAUUGAACUCCUUUCUACAGACAUAGUACCAUGAAGAUUUAUGAAUGAGGUGCUAUCUGAAUGACUAAAUGUACCACUUUGAUGUAUUGUGGUCCAUUGCUAACAGUGCGGUCAUAUUGCAUUGCGUUAUUUUAAUAACCAUGAUAUGGGUUGAGUAUCCCUUAUUCAAAAUAAUUAGAACCAGAAUAUUUCACAUUUCUGAUGGUUUUGAGUUUUGGAAUACUCUCAAAUAUAUUGAAUUAUUUUGGCAAUGGAAUCCAACUCUAAAUACAAUAUUCAUUUGUGUCUCUUUAUACCUUUUGCACAUGGCCCAAAGGUCAUUUCAUAUAGCAUUUUUAGUGUAUCUGCUUUUGAUUGAGAUCCUUUACCUGUGGUCAGAAUUUUCCCUCUGUGGUAGGUAUCAUGUCAGCACUCAGAAAGUUUCAGGUUUGAAUGCAUUUCAGAUUUUGCAUUUUUGAAUUAAGGAUGCUUAGUCUGUAGUAACAGUCUCAUUUAUUCUGAAAGCUUGGGUCUGUUCUCCUAGAUUUUCAUUUGACCUCCUAUGUCACACAUAUUUCAGCAAUCUUGCAGUGUUCAAGUACCUGUCAUUAAAUACCUGUGGUCCCAUUUCUUUGUCAGGGAUAUCAAAGGAAAAUAAGCAUCCAAAGGCUGAUUUUAAACCUUUUAUUUUAUAAAGGAAGUGAACAUUUUUAAAUCAAAUAAGUUAAGGCCAUUUGGGGGUUUUCAGGUAUGGAUACUACUUAUUUCCACUUGCUAUGGUUGUGUCUUUAAAUCUGCAAAUCCAUUUUUCCAGAGCUACAAGUCAGUUCUCAGUUUUGGCCCCCUCCACAGCACGUCAGGCUCCCGCAAGAAACAAGCAGUCAGUGAAGUACUGAUGGGUGUUGAGUCUCUCCGUUCCUGUUCUUCCCUCUGUUGGCUUCCUGUUCUGUCAAUUUCACCUUUUGGGUUAUAUACAGAGGGCCCAGUCUUUUCUCUGGGUAAUUCCCUAAUCAGUGCUGUCUUUUUGAUAUGAGUAGAGCCUCGCUUCAUCAGCAGGCUUCUUGAAAAAGGCGUGAGGGUCCAUGUGUCCAGGCAAAGGAGAUUGUUUUGAGGCAGGACUUAUAAUAAUAGCUAGCAAAAGUUACAAAGGUCUGUUUUAGGUCAUUCAAAAGGAUGGAAGUAUAUGCUUUUCCCAGCACAUAGAGACGGAAACUAUUGAGCUUUCCAACAUGCAUCCUUGAAAUAUAUAUGGUUAAAAGUAUGUCUUCAAGAAAAUUCACAAAAGGAACCAUUAAUAAAGUCUUAGGUGCCCAUUAUUAGAUGUAGAACUUUGGCUUUCCAGAAAGGAUGGUAUGUUGACAAAUAAAAUGUUUUAAAAGAAAGAAAUAAAUUCUUCUCUGUACUCACAGUUUUGGGAGUAGCAAUUAUAUAAUCUCCUAUGUAAUUUCCUAGAUCUUAUAUGAUUUCAAAUGUAUCCAAAUUUGCUCAUGGUUGGUAUUUGGACCAAUAAUGGGAUCAGAUGGGCAUCAAACCAAAAAGUUUUCAUGAAGAUGAAACUUUCAAUCUCAUGUACGUGGAGAUCUCUAGCAUAGUGUUCAGAAAGCACUUUCAAAUCUGUUGCUAGUGCUUGCUGGUUUAUUCCAGGUGUUUUCAAGAAUGCACAUGAGAAAGUAAACUUUCUUCAUCCUUUUACAGGAAUCACGGGUAUUUAAAAGAAUGACCUUGCACUCCAACGUUCAUGUGUUUUAUCUCUCUCUGUUUAUUAUUUGAAGCAUUUUUUUAAAAUUCUGAUUUUUUUGCCACAUCAAAAUUACUUGGCUCAGAUCAUCUGUUUAGGAUGCAAGAUGUAAGGAUUCCAUGUAUUGCACAGUAAAAUGCUGAAUUUUAUCUAAAACCCACUGCAUUGUGGGGUAAGUGACUACUAAGGGAAAUACUCAGAAAAGAAUAGAUUUUACUUACCUUUACUUAACUUUUGCCCGGUUAAGAACAGAAUAAAAUCCUUGCCAUUUCUGGCAUAAAACAAUCGAAUGACAGAAUCUUGUUGGACUAAUGACUUUAAUGUUUUAUUUUCAGACAAAUCCCCACAGGAGAGAAGAUCCUGAGGCCUGUUGCCACAAACCCGUAGAUCCGAACUUGUGGUGAUUGUCCACACAAGCUUGUGUCUACAGGUCUGUGUCUGUGAGGCGCUGUCACAGACCCGGGCUCUGCCUGGCUGCCACUCAAUAUCCCUGCUCAUCCAUUUAUUCUCCCCCUCUCUUCUCUCACUUUCCUUCGAGAGUGGGAGAACUGGAAGGUGGGGCUGAAGUGGAGAAAGGUGACCUUUGAAUCUGAAAUAGAUAAGGUUAAUUAAUAGGCCUGCCCUCCAUUUGGUAUCUCUUCAAACAGGUCUCAGCUGCCAAAUUAGGAAACCAAGCUUGUAGGUGAGACGGGAAGAAUUCCUGUGAUUCAGAUGACUGCUGAGUGAGGAUAAAUAGAUGUGCAGACAAAGGUUCCUUUUGUUUUCUGGAAGCUUGGCUAAUUGUUUUCCAAGUUAUUAUGAUCUUUUCUGGGAAGUGACAGCGACUUGUUUGCAAAACCAAUCUCACCCUAGUUUGGGUUGUACCUUGUAACAAUUUUCCUCCCACGUUAUUCGCCAAGUGCAAUCCAAUCAGUCUUUGUCUUAAUAAGCAAGAUGAUUGAAGGGAAAGCAUGUGUUUACCUACUUAACUAUUUAUACUUCUGUAAAUACUCAUCAGGAUAAGAUUUUUUUUUUAAAAUAUGGCCUGUUUAGAUCCAAAUUCAUCUUUGUCCUGAGCUGUUUUAUAAGUCUUUAUCAUGUUUAAAAGACUGGAAUGAAAAUAAUUUUAUCCCUUUGCCUCUUAAAUGUCACCAUUGUGCCAGAAUUGGAAAGCCAAGCUGACCACAGAUCAAAGCAAAAUUGGCUAUAUUUGUCUUAUUCCAACAAUGUGAGCCGAAGAGUCUGUAAACAGAAACCAGGGUGAAAAGUUGAUCAGAUUUGGAAGCUUGGCAUUCCCUUUCCUCUAGCAGAGUACCAGUGAUUCCUUUAAGCCUUUUAAAUCUGUGUGUGUGUGUGUGUGUGUGUGUGUGUGUGUGUGUGUGUGUAAAUGAAAUAUUUGUUAGGUUACCAUCAGAAAACAGUUUGAAAUUCAAGUGAAUUUUUUUUUGAGAAAUGGAUGUAUUUUUAAUUUCUUUAUUUUAAAAAGCAAAACAGAAAAAAAAGGGUAGAAAUGGUACAGAAUUACAAAAAAGUAGGGAAUUAAUAUUAGUUAAUAUAUUGCAUAUAGUUAUCUCACAACUAGUUGUUCAGGUUAAAAAACCUAGACACAAAAAUGAUCACUCAAACAAUGAUAGCACAAACUGUUCUUUUUGAUGAACGAAGAGAGAUUAAUAGUUUAGUUAACUGACUAGCAUACAUAUACAUACAUACAUUUGUAUAUUUUUGCCCACAUACAUACAUAUGACCUUUUCCUUUCUUACUUUAUAACUUUUUUCCUUUUCCCUAUCUCAGUAGUUCUGUCCUUUCUUUCUCAUUCACUAUUACAAUAUCUAUUGUAUAUUUUGGAUUUUAUUACUCUUUCAGAUUUUUAUUUUUUAUUAUUUUUAUACUAGGAAGAAAAUAUGAUAUUUAUAAAUGUGAGUUUGAUUUAUUUCACUUAUGAGUAUGGUCUCAAGUUGCCUCCAUUUACCAAAAGAAAUUACCAAUAGAUUAAGAAAAAACCUACAGAAUGGGAAAAAUUUUAGCCAGUUGUUCCUCAGACAAGGCACUUAUAUUUAGAACGUAAAAAGAACUGAAAAACAUCAGGGCCCCAAAAUUCAAAGACCCAAUCCAAAAAUGGGCUUCAGAGAUGCACACACAUUUCUCAGAUGAAGAAACACACAUGGCAAAUAAAUACAUGAAGACAUGCUCAACAUCACUGGGCAUUCAAGAAAUACAUAUUAAAAAAACAUUGCGAUUCUAUCUCACUUCAGAAAGAAUGGCUGCCAUCAAGAAAUCAACUGAUACCAAAGGCUGGUGAGGCUGGUGGUGGGGAAAAAGGAACCCUUCUCCACUGCUGGAGGGAGUGUAGACUGGUGCAACCACUGUGGAAAUCAGUAUGGAGAUUCCACAAAAACUAGCAUUAGAGUUCUUAUUUGACCCAGGUAUUUCCAUUCUGGGUAUUUGCCCAGAAAAGUUGAAAAUGUCAUGCCACAGCUAUAUAUGUGCACCCAUGUUUAUAGCAGCACAAUUUGUUAAUAGCUAAAUCUUGGAAACAACCAAAAUGCCCAUCAAUUGCACAAUGGAUAAAAAAGAUGUGGUAUUUUUCUACAGUGGAAUAUUACUCAGCUAUAAAAGGAUAAUCUUGAGGCUUUUACAAGUGAAUAUAUUUUAACUUUUCUUAGGAGCCAUACUGUUUAGAAACAGCGAGAACUUUUCUAUGAAAUAUAUUGAAAUGAAAUUUUGUGUUUCUCAAUUAGAAAGACCUAAGCAUAGGUCACAUUUGCAGACGUGACAAAAUAUGUAGCACUGUAAGCGCUAGAUCCAAGAGGGUACUGUUCUAUGCAUGGCCUUUGCAUUUGCUUUCUACUGACUUGAAGAAGGUUUUAGGUAGGUUUCAACUUCCAAUUUGUGGAUGAACCAUUGCUUCCAUAUGGAGUGACAGAACAUUGCAUUCAGAAGAUAAAUCCUGCCUUCAUCAGUGGGUGUCGUAUAUAUUUGUUAGCUCAAGGUCUUUAUCCACCUACGAUGCAAACGUCUACUCAGUGCAUUUUACAUACUCCUUUGAAAUGGUUGACUUGGAAUAUGUAACUUGCCAAUAAAUUAAUCUUAUACUUCUACUGUGUAAACAGUUGUUCGUGCAGGCAACAUCAUAUUUCUCCUCCUGAUCCUUUCACCUGCCACUGUUAACUGUGCUACUGGUGGGAUUAAUGGUGGUGUUCAUGGAUCCGUGGGGAUUUGAGUUCUCAGUCUUCCCUACACAGAACCACUAAGACUGCAAGAUGGUCAGGAGGUGGUUGCUGGAUUGCUCUUUCAACUGGCUUAUAAAUCUUUGAUCCCAAAGGGGAAAAAAUAGGUAGAAUAUCUACCAUUUCCAAUCUUCUAAAAGACCUCGAGCAUUAUUUGUUUCAUUUGGCUAGAAAAUAUUCUAGUGGAAAACCUAAAGGCUCUGGACACUGACUACAAGAAACAGGAUAUUAAAUACUUUAUAAUAAUAAAAGUCGGUAUUUUUUUCCUUCUUCCAUGUUCAUCAGUGAAUGGUUCUCUACUAUUAAUUAUCCCGUGGAUUUUACCACAUAUUCUACAGAAAGCAUGCAGAAAGUAGAAAGUAAGGUAAUUUCAAGAUUCCUCACAGGCUGUGAAAAUAUACAAUAGCCAAUCUAGCACGGUGAUAUUGGGAGACUGAUAUAAACCAAACUCUUUUCAUUGAAAUUCUCAAUCAAGUCAUCAGUAUUAAAAAUCUGUUUAAUAAAUUAUAAUUCCAGGAUGUAGUUUGUACUUACCCUUUUAAAAUUAAAAAGAAAUAGUUCUUACUCCAGGAAUUGCAUUUUAUAAAGCAAAUCUUUCUUCACCACCAGAGUUUGGAGAAGCAGAAGCUGAUACUUAGCUUUGAAAGUUUCUUGUUCACUUUUCAACAUUUUUAUUGUAUUUUUUUACAUAGCAAGAAAUAAUAUACAAAAUGCAUCCAAAUGGUAUAUUUGUGGCAGAAUUCACUUUAACUUUUAAUUAACAGGCUCUCUUAUUUUUUCAAUAUGCUACAAUCAUUCCUCAAUAUUUAUUAGGCCCUGUGAGUCUUUCUCUUCUAUUCAUAGGAUUUAACUUCAUCACAUGUGGCUAGCCUCUCCAAUUAAGCUUUUAAAAGCUUCUUACAUCUGUAAUAGUAUUGCAAUUCUACAGAGAAGUCAAUCUGAAUGGC